GAAUAUAUACAUCGUAAUUGGUAACUUGAUGGCUGUUGCUUUCCUGUAUUAAUGGCUGGGUGUCUUGUUGAACUGGUACACUUUGGAAGUACUACAUAUUUCUAGAAAAAUAAAAUUAUAUUUAAUAAAUAUUUAUUCAGUUUUUAACACAUAAAUAAAAUAUAAUACAAUAAGACUUAUUUCUUGACUUAAGUUGGUAGGAUUAAAAACAUGCUGUAUAUAUUGUUGCAAACUAAAUAAAUCAAUCUAUUAUAGAGCUACACCAGAUUCUUGCUGUUAAAUGUUAUACUUUCUUUAUGUCAUUGGCAUUAAUUGCAACAAAUACCAACAAUGCAAAAACAAGAUACAAAUUGUGCAUUGACCAGUAUUUAAACAGUGUACUGCAUUGACUAAUAAAAAAGUUAUCUGAUAAACUUAUCUGGUAGUAAUUCACUCUGUCUAACAUAGUUCGGAAAGGGUCUGUAUUAUAUCUCCUAUUUUAUAAAUAUUCCCCCUAUUACAGACUUUUAAUAACCUCUUUCAGAGAGCAAAAUUUGACAUUUGGACUUGUAGUUUAAUUAAAAACCACUUGUUCUGUAAUUUCUACGAUGGUUUUCUUAUCACGCCCCUCUUUAAUUAACACAUCCUCUUUUAGUAAUCCCCCUCCCCAUCAUUACAAACAAAAUCAAACACUUUAAUUUUAUCAAGGUUUAUCCUCUUGAAGCAAGGAGGUUUUAAACUAUGUCUAAUCAAGGAUGGAUCCAGCAUGAUCUAGU